rnacentral:rRNA from 1 species
GAUGAACGCUGGCGGCGUGCCUAAUACAUGCAAGUCGAGCGAAUGGAUUAAGAGCUUGCUCUUAUGAAGUUAGCGGCGGACGGGUGAGUAACACGUGGGUAACCUGCCCAUAAGACUGGGAUAACUCCGGGAAACCGGGGCUAAUACCGGAUAACAUUUUGAACCGCAUGGUUCGAAAUUGAAAGGCGGCUUCGGCUGUCACUUAUGGAUGGACCCGCGUCGCAUUAGCUAGUUGGUGAGGUAACGGCUCACCAAGGCAACGAUGCGUAGCCGACCUGAGGGGGUGAUCGGCCACACUGGGACUGAGACACGGCCCAGACUCCUACGGGAGGCAGCAGUAGGGAAUCUUCCGCAAUGGACGAAAGUCUGACGGAGCAACGCCGCGUGAGUGAUGAAGGCUUUCGGGUCGUAAAACUCUGUUGUUAGGGAAGAACAAGUGCUAGUUGAAUAAGCUGGCACCUUGACGGUACCUAACCAGAAAGCCACGGCUAACUACGUGCCAGCCGCCGCCGUAAGAC